CCGAGGGCACCCACCUUGGAGCCCUCGGGAGCACCAGGAGGUCUCCCACGUGGGAGACAAGACAUCCCUGUUUAAUAUUUAAACAGCAGUGUUCCCC
rfam:Loxodonta africana unplaced genomic scaffold scaffold_31, whole genome shotgun sequence.